AUUAUUAUUGUGUUCGUUCGGCUUUAUGUCUGUUCGGCAUUGUGUCCAUUCAGCUUCUUCGCUUUGGCUCCUUGUCCUUCGGCAAAAGUGCAUUCGGUAUCCUGUCCGCAUACGAAGUAUGAUUGAAACACUUCUUCUAA